rnacentral:lncRNA from 10 species
GACCCCCAAAAGAGGCUGCAGAUUCUUAGUGGACAGCUCUCAUAUCCCCUCCAGGGAAAAUGAUGAAAAAUGUCUUCAGAAAAAUAGCUUUAUGAAGGCAAGAGGACUUUUUGCACCUGCAAGACAUGUCUGAAAGCUCCUCAGGUCAAAACACAAGUAGUCAAGAGAUUUGUCCAUCUAAUUCAUCAUACUACUCUGAUCCAAGUGAGACCCACACUGGGUCAGCUCCAUCAAGGAGAAGAACAUUCCACCCACGUUUGGAUUCUGGAAUAUCAUCCUUGCUUCCAUCAGAUUCUUGUAAGUACCUCACUUGGCACAAGGUAGACAUGACGUUCAAGGAAGUCAACUGCGUUGCCCAAGAGUAAGAGAAGGAAUCUCUGAAGAAGAGCAACUUUUCAGACAGGUAGAGUGUGCCUUGCUCCCAAGGAAAAGAGUUCUUGAAAAAAACAAAUGGGAAACAUGGCUACAAGAAAACUGGGAAGACUGCAAGAAUUUGAACAUUUCAUUUCAGGGUUUGGGGGAUCCUUACCAAGUUGAAAAUUUUAACAGAAUUCUUAGAAGACUAAUUCGAGUUGAAACCCUCUGGUUAGUGGAUAAUUCACUGGUGGACUUAAGUGCCAUAAGAUUGCCAAGGCAAAAACAUGCUAACUGACAAGAAAAUCAUGGGUUUUAUACAAGGAUAACAAGUGCUGGGUUGCUUAGCUAUGAGGAAGGCUAGGCUCACUGCAUACCAGAAGAUGUACAGCGUUGGAGAAUUCAGGGAUUUUUAUCAACAAUCAAACUAUAUUUGUGGAAAUUUUGUGCAUAAGUGCCAAAGAUGGCUGACAUCGGACCACAUUCUAUUUAACUCAACUGAAUGACACCAAGCUCUCAUCCUAAAACUUAUAGUUACAUCCACCCUUCUGAAAUAUUUAAUUAUUCUCCAAUACACUGGAGGUAAUAGGUAUAAAAAGAAUGAGCAUGUGCAACUUAGUAUCUCAUAUCUAAUUUUGUGUCCCAAGUUCAUUCUUCCCCUGAAUGUCCCAUGUCUACCAGGUGCAGGAUUAUCUGGAUGGGUCAGUUCAAAACAAUUUCAGGGAAUAAAUUGUGUAGGGGACUCAAUUUUCUGAGACAGAAACAUAAUGUGAAUAACUCCUUUGUUAGAAAAUAAUUUCAGUGACAGAAAGCCUUUCAGUUCAUAAAGAAAACUUACAUAUCAACAAGCCUAGCUCCUCACUAGUCCCAGUGAAUGCUUACAUCAAUCAGCUCUACAAUAUCCAGUAAAGGACUUUCCAAUUCGCCUUUGAAUAAACUGAGGUAUUGGAAACAUCUAAGAAAAUGGUUUUUAAUUCUUCCUAAUCUUCAGGGAGUUCUUCCUUAUAUUGAGCUGAUAUCUGCCCUCUGUAACUUUCAACUAAUUAUUCAAAUCUCUCAAGUGAUUAUAAUUAAUUCCAUCUUAUAAGGAAUUUUUCUCAGCUUCCAGCCUCUUGAAAAUACUCUGAUAUUUUCUCUAAUAUUCAAGUGGAAAUGUAAAUGGGUAACGUAAGAGUCUGUGGGGUUAGGAGGGUGGAGGAAAGGUAAGGGAAAGCUAAUGAGAAAUAACCAAAGCAAGAAAAAGAAUUUUAUUUUCUUCAAGUUCUUUGUACAUCCAAAGUGGAAGAUUCCUAAAAUAAAUUCCCCAUACCACAUUUUAAAAAUUAGGUUAGCAAGCUUACUUUUUAAUUUAUUUAGAAGCCAACUACUUCCAUUUAUUAUUUCUUUCCAGAAUAGAACAAUUAUCACUAAUUGUUUGUCAUUAUAAUGCCAAACUAUGUUAAUAGAUGCCUAUUUUUUUAAAGGCUAAUUGCAAUCAUGAAACCAAAUAUCUAAUUAGUUUUAGAGCUUUGGACCACAUGCAUCAAUAUUUGAAUCAUUCAGGUGUAUAUUUGCUUUCUGCUUUUUUGUCUCUUCAAAAGAAGUAUUAUAUGCAUUCUGUUUAUAAUUUCUAAAUGGUCAUUUCAAAACUGAUUAUACGAGUUUAUACAAAUCAUACUGAAAUUUGUUGCUUAAAAAAUCUUCAUUUUUCUCUAAGCUCUCAGUGUCCUUGAGCUAUAUAUAUUUUAUGGCAAUUUUUACUUAAUAGUUUGUAUGCUAGUUAUUUUUGACAAUGACUACUAAAAUGCAAGUUUCUUCAAGGGCAGAUUCACCUUAGUUCUUCUUUAUACCCCUCAAAAACCUCAGGGUUAUUCUCAAUAAGUAUUGAGUAGGUGAGUGAACUUUGGAUGUAUACUCCUUGAAAUUAUAUUUCUGGAGCUGGAAAACUUUAAAAAAAUGUAUGUCAUGAGUCUAAAGAAAUAAACAUUAUAUGGCUGAAAAAAUACUUUGUGAAAACCAAAAA